rnacentral:tRNA from 1 species
GCCGGUGUGGCUCAGUGGAUAGAGCAUUGGCCUGCUCUACUGAAGGGUCCCGGGUUCGAUUCCGGUCAACGGCA